GUGAGUUUCCUGAUGAUAAUAUAAUAAUAGCAAUGAUGAUGAUGAUGAUGAUGAUGGCAAUAACAAUGAUGACAGUCAACACUGCCGCGUGCCGGGCUCUGGCCCUUUGCAUGUCUGGGCCGGCUGUACAAGGCACUGCUGGGGCUCCCGGGCUGGGAGCCAGGGACAGGCACCGUCACAGCAGCCAAGGGGCCCCCCUACCACCCCAGCACCUGCUGGCCCUGAACCAGCUGCUCCUUGAGAGCUUUGACAGACUCUUCCGCUUGGCAGCAUUUUAAUCUGCUGGUGCAAGAGCCUUGUCGCUUCCUCAAAGCCUGUGCCCAUGGCCGUGGGCAGCUGCCUGUCCCUGUAUAGGCAGAGCUGCGUCAUGCCCUGUGGCCCCAGGUCUGGCUCUGGGGUUCUGGCUGGGCGGGGCCUGGAACCUUCUGGGAGUCACCAUUGACUGGCUGCAGCCACCGGCUUCCCAGCAAGGAUGUCCUCUUCUGUAGGAAAAUGGGGACGUCGGGAGCAUUCUCUGGACAGCAGGAGAUGCAUGUCGACAGGCUGGCCCUGCCUCUUCCCACCCCAGAGUGAUGCAGCGGUGUCCUGGACCCCUGGGGAGAGGUGACCCCCCCAGCAGGAAGCUGGGCCUGGUUUCUGUCCCUCUGCAGCCACAAGGCCUGGCUAGGAUGCUGGGAGCACCACACCCUGGAGACUCAGCUCACCAAGGACUCAGGGGCGGGGGCUCCCCUGGCACCUGGGAAGCUGGGCCCCCGGCCCCCUGGACUCCCACCCAGACACCAUCUCAACCCAGGCACUUCCCCCGGGCCAGAGGGCAGCCUGGCAGCCCUGGACUCCGGGAGGGCCGAGUCUGGGGAGCUGGACGACGUCACAUUCCACUCUUGAUGAUGCCGCCCCAGUCCUACAAUCUGGACAGCAGGAGAAGCUGCCCAUUUCCUCCAUCUCCGGUAAUGAGAAGCAAAUGCUGAUCCUGGCCGUCUCCUGGCUCUUGGGUCCCUAGGUUCCUGCUGCCCCUGCCAGUUCCUGGAAGAUGCCAGCAGGAGGGAGGGCAGUGGAGCUGGACUUGCG
rnacentral:lncRNA from 1 species